rnacentral:ncRNA from 1 species
GCGGAUGCCAAAUCCGUUGGAAUGUAACCUAUAAGGUUGAACCAUAAA